rnacentral:misc_RNA from 1 species
GAAAUGGAUCUGCUUAUGCUGUUGGAAUUGUGAAUAUUAUUAAAGCUUUCUAUCGCAGGAAUAUUUCUUUUGCUGCUAGUUGGCUUCUCAUCAUUACUACACAGGUAUUGGGCUACGGUUGGGCUGGGCUUUUGAGGAAAUACGUAGUUGAGCCGGCACAUAUGUGGUGGCCCAGUACACUUGUUCAGAUCUCCCUUUUCCGUGCAUUGCAUGAACAAGAAGAUGAUGAUGACAAUGAAACUGUGAAUGCCAAUGGAAACAAACGGCCAAUGUCACGUGCAAAGUUCUUUGUGAUAGCACUUGUAUGCAGCUUUUCAUGGUACAUAUUCCCUGGUUAUCUCUUCCAAGCAUUAUCAAGUAUUUCAUGGGUGUGCUGGGCAUAUCCAAAAUCUGUCACUGCUCAACAGAUUGGAUCAGGUCUGAAUGGCCUUGGAGUCGGGGCAUUCACGUUAGACUGGGCUACUGUAGCUUCAUUCUUGUUCAGUCCUCUUAUUUAUCCGUUCUUUGCAAUAGCCAAUGUCUUUGUUGGCUAUGCCUUGAUAUUGUAUGUUGUGAUUCCUAUAUCCUAUUGGGGGUUCAACGUCUACAAUGCCAAAAAUUUUCCUCUAUAUUCCUCGGACUUGUUCACUGCACAAGGUCAGGAGUAUAACAUAUCACUUAUUGUGAAUAACCAGUUUAAGCUCGAUCAAGCCGAGUAUGAUAAGCAAGGGAGAAUAAACCUGAGCCUUUUCUUUACUCUUACUUAUGGAUUUGGAUUUGCCACCAUUGCUUCUACUCUUACUCACGUUGGCUUGUUCUAUGGAAGAGAGAUUUACCAACGCUUUCGAGCUUCCUCAGUGGGAAAGGUUGAUGUCCACACGAGGCUGAUGAGAAGAUACAAAGACAUACCUUCGUGGUGGUUUUACUUGCUUCUCCUCGGGACAACUCUGGUAUCGCUUGCCCUUUGCGUCUUCCUGAAGAGCCAAGUUCAGCUGCCGUACUGGGGACUCCUCCUUGCAGCUGCACUUGCUUUCAUUUUCACACUUCCAAUCAGUAUCAUUACUGCAACCACAAAUCAGACUCCAGGCCUAAACAUAAUCACUGAGUACAUUAUGGGCACGAUUUAUCCUGGAAGACCUAUCGCUAAUGUGUGCUUCAAGACCUAUGGCUAUAUGAGCAUGACUCAAGCAAUCUCCUUUCUCAGUGAUUUCAAGCUUGGUCAUUAUAUGAAGAUACCUCCACGUUCAAUGUUUUUAGUUCAGUUCGUUGGAACCAUAAUUGCAGGAACCGUUAACCUGACCGUUGCAUGGUGGCUCUUGGAUUCUAUUGACAACAUAUGUCACCAGGACAAAUUUUCCAAUAGCCCUUGGACUUGCCCCGGUGAUCACGUCUUCUUUGAUGCAUCAGUCAUUUGGGGUCUCGUAAGUCCUAAGAGGAUUUUCGGCCAUCUUGGGAAUUACUCAGCACUGAACUGGUUCUUUCUUGGCGGAUUGCUUGGACCAGUUUUAGUGUGGUUACUACAUAAGUCAUUUCCGAAACAAACGUGGAUACCCCUCAUUAACCUCCCCGUGCUUCUUGGAGCGACAGCUAUGAUGCCACCAGCAACUGCUCUCAACUACAAUUCUUGGAUUUUGGUUGGAACAAUUUUCAACUUCUUCGUUUUCAGGUACAGGAAGAAAUGGUGGCAGAGGUACAACUAUAUCCUUUCCGCAGCUUUAGAUGCUGGAGUCGCGUUUAUGGCUGUGUUGCUCUACUUUACUGUGGGGAUGGAGGAUAGAAGCAUCAAUUGGUGGGGAAAUACUGACCCUGAGCAUUGUGAUUUAGCAACUUGUCCUACAGCAAAGGGCAUAUCUAUAGAUGGUUGUCCAACUUUCUAGUUUCUUAAUGUUUUUUCUUUGUUAAUUCUACCUACUUUGGUUUACAAAAUGUAGGGAAAUUCCACUGUGAAAUCGACAAAGAAACGCGAAGCCAUAUAGCUCAAUUGUUGAAUUCUUA